UGUGGUGCCUCCAAGUUCGAACGAACCAUCUUGAAGAAGUUGAGUCGAAGACCCAUACGAAUAAAAUAAAGAUAAUAAUACGAAUACAAAAAGAAGAGAAUUAGAGUUCAUUUUCGAAUUUAUCUUCUUUUAAGU
rnacentral:ribozyme from 11 species